GGGCGGCGGAACCCGCACAUCCGCCUCGCACAGCCCUGCCCCACCGUGUGUUAUGCUCUGGGCCCUGCUGGCCUGCAACGUGGGCUGCCUCUGCCACUCGGAGGGGAGCUCUUGACUUUGUCCCUUGGUGUGGGUGGCCUUCCUAUUCCAAACAGAGGCUGGAGAUGCAGAGGCAGGAGUGAGGCUGUUCCCAGAGCCACUCGGCUGUACCUUGUUUGAACUCAGGGACACCGGACUAAGACCUGCUUUCUGUCAUAAAAGCUCUGGAAACGUGUGUGUGUGUGUGUGUGUGUGUGUGUGCGUGCACAUACGCUAUGCACAGCUUUGCACUGUGUACCUCACCUGAGCUAGCCCACCUGGCCAUCUCAACAACACCGCUGGCAGGUGUGACACCGCUAUGACAGAGAAGGAGGCUGAGAUUCAGAGCAGAAGGCCUCCUGGGCUCUUCAGAACUCCUGGGCUGCCUCAGCAGAGGCCUUGCUCGUCUCCUGCCGCACAGCUGGGGCAGUACGCCACUGCGGACACAGAAAGGCCGGCUCAGUCCCUCCUGGGACGGUCAUACUGUAGCCACAGAAAUACCAACUGGGAAGUCUUAUGUGACACAGCAACAAAAGAUUUAACAGCGAGCCUGCGGGAACCCUGACCUCCAGCCACACUGCGGAGGCCCAGCUGGUGCUGGCAGCACAGCAGGGACUGCGGCCUGGAGAGAGGCGCACUCAGCC